CCUACGGGUGGCAGCAGUGAGGAAUAUUGGUCAAUGGCCGUAAGGCUGAACCAGCCAAGCCGCGUGAAGGAAGAAGGAUCUAUGGUUUGUAAACUUCUUUUAUAGGGGAAUAAAGGUAUCCACGUGUGGAUAUUUGCAUGUACCCUAUGAAUAAGCAUCGGCUAACUCCGUGCCAGCAGCCGCGGUAAUACGGAGGAUGCGAGCGUUAUCCGGAUUUAUUGGGUUUAAAGGGUGCGUAGGCUGUCUUUUAAGUCAGCGGUGAAAGGUUGUGGCUCAACCAUAGAAUUGCCGUUGAAACUGGAGGGCUGGAGUGUGUGUGAGGUAGGCGGAAUGCGUGGUGUAGCGGUGAAAUGUAUAGAUAUCACGCAGAACUCCGAUUGCGAAGGCAGCUUACUAAGCCAUAACUGACGCUGAGGCACGAAAGCGUGGGGAUCAAACAGGAUUAGAUACCCUGGUAGUC
rnacentral:rRNA from 1 species